GCAGACCCGUUGCCAUAGCAACCGACAACAAUGCCUCUAAUGUGUCAGGAUUCGACACCAUAAACACGUAAACAUUUCCCAAACGAAGAACAGACCAUUCAGUUUGUCAGAGUAUCACGUUUUCAGGCUUGAUGUCUAUCCUGCGAUAAUUAAUAAAUGAGCGCUGUGGUAGAUUAGUUACCGCUGCUAUUAGCUAAUCUAACACAGCGGUGGCUGAUUAGCUAAACAGGGAGA